rnacentral:lncRNA from 1 species
UUCUGUGGUAAUCAAAAUUGUGUGUGGAAUAAAUUCGUAGAAAAAUUUCAAAUACACCCCUUGUGGUUUCACUCUUUCUCACUUUAGGAUCCAGCGGUUUAAAGUGUAUCAAGUUAGUACCCUGUCGUUGGGGUGUAAACGAGCCGAACAGGAGCGAGCUAGGGCCGGCUCAUUUUCGGCUCGUUUUAUAAACGAGCCGAACACGUGCUGGUUCGUUAAAGUAUUGAGUCGAAAAAUUCAGCUCGUGUUCGGUCUGUUUAUUAACAAGUCGAACAUGAGCUAGCUCGCGAACAAAAAAUUAACAGGAUUAGAGAGAGUAUAUAAAAAAAUAUAUUUAUAAGUUUUUUUAUCCGUUAGAAUUUAAUUUAAUAGUAAAAAUUUUGUAUAUAAAUUGGUCUUUUUAUAAUUGAGUUAGUCUUUAUAUUUAAGUUGGGCUAAAAAUUAAAUAAUAAAAUAUCUAUAUAU